GCGAAAGUGGUGGAAUUGGUAGACGCGCUGGAUUUAGGAUCCAGUGGGAGAAAUCCUGUAGGGGUUCGAGUCCCCUCUUUCGCACCA
rnacentral:tRNA from 1 species